GUGUCAGCCGCCGCGGUAAGACGAACUGUGCGAGCGUUAUUCGGAAUCACUGGGCUUAAAGGGUGAGUAGGCGGCCUUGCAGGUCAGGGGUGAAAUACCACGGCUCAACCGUGGUGCUGCCCCUGAAACCGCAUGGCUUGAGCUCGUUAGGGGCGUGCGGAACUGCCAGUGGAGCGGUGAAAUGUGUUGAGAUUGGCAGGAACACCGGAGCCGAAAGGGGCGCGCUGGGGCGAGUCUGACGCUGAAUCACGAAAGCCAGGGGAGCGAACGGGAUUAGAUACCCCGGUAGUCCUGGCUGUAAACGAUGGGUACUAGGCGGUAGAGCCUUCGGGUUUUACUGGCGGAGCGAAAGCGUUAAGUACCCCGCCUGGGGAGUAUGGUCGCAAGGCUGAAACUUAAAUGAAUUGGCGGGG
rnacentral:rRNA from 1 species